UGGGGAAUAUUGGACAAUGGGCGCAAGCCUGAUCAAGCCAUGCCGCGUGAGUGAUGAAGGCCCUAGGGUUGUAAAGCUCUUUCACCGGUGAAGAUAAUGACGGUAACCGGAGAAGAAGCCCCGGCUAACUUCGUGCCAGCAGCCGCGGUAAUACGAAGGGGGCUAGCGUUGUUCGGAUUUACUGGGCGUAAAGCGCACGUAGGCGGACUAUUAAGUCAGGGGUGAAAUCCCGGGGCUCAACCCCGGAACUGCCUUUGAUACUGGUAGUCUUGAGUUCGAGAGAGGUGAGUGGAAUUCCGAGUGUAGAGGUGAAAUUCGUAGAUAUUCGGAGGAACACCAGUGGCGAAGGCGGCUCACUGGCUCGAUACUGACGCUGAGGUGCGAAAGCGUGGGGAGCAAACAGG
rnacentral:rRNA from 1 species